GCUCCCAAGGCCCCGGUUCAGCAGUUUGUCUCUGAUCAGCAAAACAUUUAAGCACAUGUGUACCUGCAGGCUGAUGAUUGUAUCACUUAGGCUUGCCAGAGCAAUGGUUUUCUAUCUCUGGUUUAUGCACCCCUAGAGACCCAUGAACUACUUCUAAGGGGGCCUGAAAGGUACUUAAGAAGAGCAAGCUUCUCACCAAGAGGCUUGUUUGCUACAGAGAAGGUCCAGACUCCUGCUCAGGGAGUGAAGAGACUGAGGACCAGUGUUGGAAAGCAGGACAGGUCUGACAGGGUCAGGCCAUGGGCUUUAACAAAGGGCUGAGAUCCCACCACCUCUAGAGUUCAGCUUGUCAUUGAAGCAGAUGGGGAAGGAGCUACUGAACCUACAAAGGCCAGAUUGUGACCACCAGAGGAAACUUUCUCCUGGUUUUAACACUGACAUCUGAAGGGUUCCUGGAGACUGCUUAAGUUUUCUUUGGGAAAAGUUUUCUUUUGGAAAAAGUACAGGACAAGAUAUCAACACUCUGAUCUGUCAUAAACGGAAAGCUGCAGGAAUGAAGCAUCCCAGAGUUGCAGGCUUUUUUUCCUAAAAGUGAAGGAUCAUGCUACAAUGUCUAAAAAGAGAAGAGCAAGUCAGUCUGACCUUUACCUAUAAUAGAAUCAAGAUGAACACUGACCUCCCAUCUCAUGUCAGCUCUCUCAGCAUGAAUACAGAGGGUGCAGCAGGAGGAGCAGGGGGAGAAGGUGUGUCCCUCACUGUGACAGAUGCUGUGGCUCCAGGGAACAUUCAGGUGGCUGUGCUGACAUUACAAAUGAACGCACACACCUUUGUGGUUUCAUUAAUGACUGAACUGACAGAUGAAGAGGCAUGAAAAUUAAUGCAUCCUGCAAAAAAAAAAA